rnacentral:rRNA from 1 species
AUUGAACGCUGGCGGCAGGCCUAACACAUGCAAGUCGAGCGAGCGGCGGACGGGUGAGUAAUGUAUGGGGACUGCCCGAUAGAGGGGGAUAACUACUGGAAAAGGUGGCUAAUACCGCAUACUGUAGGAUAACCCAUAUGGGAUUAGCUAGUAGGUAAGGGAAUGGGUUACCUAGGAGACGAUCCCUAGCUGGUCUGAGAGGAUUAUCAGCCACACUGGGACUGAGACACGGCCCAGAGUCCUACGGAGUCAGCAGUGGGGAAUAGUGCACAAUGGGCGCAAGCCUGAUGCAGCCAUGCCGCGUGUAUGAAGAAGGCCCUAGGGUUGUAAAGUAUUUUCAGUCGGGAGGCGUUACCGACAGAAGAAGCACCGGCUAACUCCGUGCCAGCCGCCGCGGUAAUAC